rnacentral:rRNA from 1 species
UACGAAGGGGGCUAGCGUUGCUCGGAAUCACUGGGCGUAAAGCGCACGUAGGCGGAUUGCUAAGUCAGGGGUGAAAUCCUGGAGCUCAACUCCAGAACUGCCUUUGAUACUGGCGAUCUUGAGUCCGGGAGAGGUGAGUGGAACUCCGAGUGUAGAGGUGAAAUUCGUAGAUAUUCGGAAGAACACCAGUGGCGAAGGCGGCUCACUGGCCCGAUACUGACGCUGAGGCACGAAAGCGUGGGGAGCAAACAGG